UACGUAGGGUGCAAGCGUAAUCGGAAUUACUGGGCGUAAAGCGUGCGCAGGCGGUUUUGUAAGUCUGAUGUGAAAUCCCCGGGCUCAACCUGGGAAUUGCAUUGGAGACUGCAAGGCUAGAAUCUGGCAGAGGGGGGUAGAAUUCCACGUGUAGCAGUGAAAUGCGUAGAGAUGUGGAGGAACACCGAUGGCGAAGGCAGCCCCCUGGGUCAAGAUUGACGCUCAUGCACGAAAGCGUGGGGAGCAAACAGG
rnacentral:rRNA from 1 species